rnacentral:misc_RNA from 1 species
GUUUCUGUUCCGAUAUUUUCUUGUAGUGAUAAUCCAUGGUGAAUUACCUAAGUUCCAUAAAAUGAGUUGUAGGUUAGUGCUAUAGUGGGAUACUAUAUGCUGUAUGUGGUAGUGAAAACUAAUCGCAGAGUUCAAAUUCUAGAAGUAAUGGAGAUAGCGGUCAAGUUAGGAUUAAGAAGUAAAAGGAUUACAAUUAAUGCUGAUGGGAUGAAUAUCAUCAAAGGGAAAGGCACAAGGCAUGGAAAGACGAAAAGGAAUAAUAUGAGAGGAAUUCUAAGGGAAGUUUAGAACAAGUUAUGGUAAAAUAGCAAGUUAAAGGAGCUGUGAGCUGUGGGGCCUCCAUCGAAGUUUCAAUGUGUCAAGAAGUACAUCAGAUAGUAAGAAAUUUUGAGCAAAAGUUAAGGAGCUCCCUUUUUCAAGAAAAGGAUGAGGAUUUGAUAAGUCGUGUCGACUGGAUAACUCAAGAAUACAUAAACUAUCACCACAUCAAAAGAGAGACUAGUUCACUUUUCAAUGACGAUAAAUGUCUUAAGGAAUAAUUGGCGUUUGGAUGGAACUUUAUAUAGCGGGUUCCCUAUGGGAUAGGUAGGAGUUGGCGGGAAGUUCACGAUAUCACAGAAAUAAGAAAUACAGGUGCUUUAGUACGGAGAAAGUGUUACUAAAGCUUAAUGACCAACAGAAUUAGCA